UGGGGAAUAUUGGACAAUGGGCGCAAGCCUGAUCCAGCCAUGCCGCGUGAGUGAUGAAGGCACUAGGGUUGUAAAGCUCUUUCACCGGUGAAGAUAAUGACGGUAACCGGAGAAGAAGCCCCGGCUAACUUCGUGCCAGCAGCCGCGGUAAUACGAAGGGGGCUAGCGUUGUUCGGAUUUACUGGGCGUAAAGCGCACGUAGGCGGACUUUUAAGUCAGGGGUGAAAUCCCGGGGCUCAACCCCGGAACUGCCUUUGAUACUGGAAGUCUUGAGUAUGGUAGAGGUGAGUGGAAUUCCGAGUGUAGAGGUGAAAUUCGUAGAUGUUCGGAGGAACACCAGUGGCGAAGGCGGCUCACUGGACCAUUACUGACGCUGAGGUGCGAAAGCGUGGGGAGCAAACAGG
rnacentral:rRNA from 1 species